CUUGGUCAUUUAGAGGAAGUAAAAGUCGUAACAAGGUUUCCGUAGGUGAACCUGCGGAAGGAUCAUUAUCAGUUAAAUAGUUCGUAGCCACGGGCGGUCGCAAGACCGUCUUUGGGGUUACCCUAUUACCCAAUGUUUAACCUUCUUUGUUGCUUUGGCGGACCAGUGGGCAACCACCUCUGGAGCUCUCCAGCGUUUUGGCCGUCAGAGGAUCAUCAAACUCGAUCAAUUAGUUGUCUGAGUAAAAAUACAAUAGUUAAAACUUUCAACAACGGAUCUCUUGGUUCCGGCAUCGAUGAAGAACGCAGCGAAAUGCGAUAAGUAAUGUGAAUUGCAGAAUUCAGUGAAUCAUCGAAUCUUUGAACGCACAUUGCGCCCCUUGGUAUCCCGGGGGGCAUGCCUGUUCGAGCGUCAUUUCAACCCUCAAGCUCUGCUUGGUAUUGGGCAUCAUCCUCUGUGGUGAGCCUUAAAAUCAGUGGCGGUGCCAUCUGGCUCUAAGCGUAGUAAUUCUUCUCGCUAUUGAGUCCAAGUGGUUACUUGCCAGCAACCCCAAAUUUUCUAUGGUUGACCUCGGAUCAGGUAGGGAUACCCGCUGAACUUAAGCAUAUCAAUAAGCGGAGGA
rnacentral:rRNA from 1 species